AAACACUCCAAAGUCAGCAGGAGGAAGUAGAAAUGAGACAGAGGCCUCUGUCUCCUAAUCUUUUCCAUAGGCUACUGUUUUCUUUCUUUUCUCAUGAGGAAAAAUGAUAAAAGCAAAAUAAACAAAUUAGCUACCACUUAUGAAAAUCCCCAGGAAAUUCCUUUUCCAGAGUUCUCACUUACUAAUUUGGCUAACAUUACCAAUGGUAACAGACCCCACGUAUCCGCCACAAUUGCUGUGAGUUGCAGAGGAAAAAGACUGGGAGGAAAUCUUCACUUUUCUUCUGCAACAGCAACCAACAGAAAUGAAAGAGCCAGGGGAUUUUGCAAAAUAUCAACUCCUGAGAACUAAGAAUGAGAGCCUUUCCUGCCAAGCCCAUUCUGUGCCAGUCAUCAUAAAAUACUAUGACCCUUCCUUCCAGAAGAACAAUGCGCUGUGAUCUUUGGCUACUCAAGCUUUACAUCAUCCAUAUUACCCUGCAGCAGGAACAGAUUGAUGGAGAACACAAGAGAUCACAGAACAAAGAAGCUCUGCUUUUGUCCACUGAAAGAAGAGAGAUGGACAGCCAGCUGAAGGUAUUAAUACAAUGAGCCACAGGACAGACAGGGUUGCUCCUUCCACCAUGCUCAGGACGGCUCCCAUGUAAGGUACCAGAAUGAGUAGACGCAGAGAAAUGACAUCCUAUUAACAGGGCCCAUCUGCCAGGGAGUAGACAGAACAGAAAAAUCUGAAGAGACCACUAAAGAAAUAGAGCUGCUUCCUUUAAAGCUAGAUUUGAAAGAAGCAGGAGAAUAUGUAAAGAAGUCCAAUAUAUAGCAGUUGGCACAGUUCCUGGAGCUAAACUCACAAGAUUUUUUAAAUUUAAAGAUUUAAUAGAUAAAAUAAAAGAGAGGGCUGCAUUAUAGAUGCUCCAAUUGGUGGCUUGGAAGAUCAGGUGGAAGUAUAUGUUAAAUCAUAGAGGAAUACAAAGAAAAACUAUAUGAAAAUAUGAGGGGAAAACGUACAUUUUGAAAGAUAGAUUCAGGAGAAAAAAUAGAAGUUCUAGAAUGAGAAAAACAGACAGAUGAAGGAGAGACAAUCAUCAAGCAAAUAACUGAAGGCAAUUUUCCUGAAGAAUACCUGGGUCAGCAGAUUUAAGUAGCUCAUCAAGUUCCAGAUAAGAUGCUAAGAUAAUAAAUACAUCUUGGUAAAAGAAAAGAGAAAAAAGAGUUAGAUUGGAGACUUGGCAUGGUGGCUUAUAC